CCUACGGGUGGCAGCAGUGAGGAAUAUUGGUCAAUGGGCGAAAGUCUGAACCAGCCAAGUCGCGUGAGGGAUGACGGUCCUAUGGAUCGUAAACUUCUUUUAUAUGGGAAUAAAGUGUGGGACGUGUCCGAUUUUGUAUGUACCUUAUGAAUAAGGAUCGGCUAACUCCGUGCCAGCAGCCGCGGUAAUACGGAGGAUCCGAGCGUUAUCCGGAUUUAUUGGGUUUAAAGGGUGCGUAGGUGGCUUGUUAAGUCAGCGGUGAAAGUCUGUGGCUCAACCAUAGAAUUGCCGUUGAAACUGGUGGGCUUGAGUAUGUUUGAGGCAGGCGGAAUGCGUGGUGUAGCGGUGAAAUGCUUAGAUAUCACGCAGAACCCCGAUUGCGAAGGCAGCCUGCCGGGCCAUGACUGACGCUGAUGCACGAAAGCGUGGGGAUCAAACAGGAUUAGAUACCCGAGUAGUC
rnacentral:rRNA from 1 species